rnacentral:rRNA from 1 species
CCUACGGGGGGCAGCAGUGAGGAAUAUUGGUCAAUGGGCGGGAGCCUGAACCAGCCAAGCCGCGUGAAGGAAGAAGGCGCCAGGCGUCGUAAACUUCUUUUCUCAGGGACGAAGAAAGUGACGGUACCUGAGGAAUAAGCCACGGCUAACUACGUGCCAGCAGCCGCGGUAAUACGUAGGUGGCAAGCGUUAUCCGGAUUUAUUGGGUGUAAAGGGCGUGUAGGCGGGAGCGCAAGUCAGAUGUGAAAACUCAGGGCUCAACCCUGAGCCUGCAUUUGAAACUGUGUUUCUUGAGUGCUGGAGAGGCAAUCGGAAUUCCGUGUGUAGCGGUGAAAUGCGUAGAUAUACGGAGGAACACCAGUGGCGAAGGCGGAUUGCUGGACAGUAACUGACGCUGAGGCGCGAAAGCGUGGGGAGCAAACAGGAUUAGAUACCCGAGUAGUC